rnacentral:rRNA from 1 species
CUAGCCGUAAACGAUGAGCACUGGGUAGGGGGCUCGCCGAUGGGCUCCCUGCCGUAGGGAAACCGUGAAGUGCUCCGCCUGGGGANCGAAGAACCUUAUCCUGGGCUUGACAUGCAGGGAUUAGCCGGCGGAAACGUCGGUGACGCCGCAAGGUGGAACCUGUGCAGGUGC